UACGUAGGGUGCAAGCGUUGUCCGGAAUUAUUGGGCGUAAAGAGCGUGUAGGCGGCCAGACAGGUCCGUUGUGAAAACUCGAGGCUCAACCUCGAGACGCCGAUGGAAACCGUCUGGCUAGAGUCCGGAAGAGGAGAGUGGAAUUCCUGGUGUAGCGGUGAAAUGCGCAGAUAUCAGGAAGAACACCCGUGGCUAAGGCGGCUCUCUAGUACGGUACUGACGCUGAGACGCGAAAGCGUGGGGAGCGAACAGG
rnacentral:rRNA from 1 species